AUUUGAAAGUUGUUAUCUUCAUUUUCUGAUAAGUUAAGGACAUCGCAACUGCCGAACUAGGAAGUUCGCGUUAGAUUUGACUCAUCACACUUCUGGCAAAGUAUCAACGACGCCAGUUCUUCGUCGUCACUCCUACCCACGUCUUUCUCUCAAUCGAUAAAUCUCUGGCGCUAAGAGACGAAAUUCUCAAGUUUUUAGUUCAACCAGAUCAAAGUGCUUGAGAUUGGUGGAGUACGAAAAGGAUCAAUCCUCGCGCAUAUGAGAAAAAUAACAGUCGGAGACUGGUACCAGGAACGAUAUAGUGGAAACCGUUUAAAUAAUCUCUUGCCAUUUACCAUCAGACUUUUCGUCCUCCAAAAAAUAUUACGGACUACGAGCGUUUUUUUUUUCUUUUUGUUAAACAAAAGAUGAGAUGAUAAGCUUGAAAAUCUCGAUAUUCCCUUGCCUCAUAUGUGGUAACGUAUUUUGAUCAUCCGUCGUUACCUCAUUACUAAUGGGAACGGUCAUGUGUCGGAAUCCAGUUCAAUUCCUGAGAACCUAAUGUCGACGAAACCUUCGUUUCCUCAAAACUCACGUUUUCUGUUUAAUGAUGGUCGAAUUAAUUGGCACGUUCUUCAAAAUUUCAUACGUCAGCUAUACAACUUGUAAGUGGAUAUGUGUGUUUUACUACGCGUGCUGCUUGUUAUUUUUGAAUCAUUUGGCAUUCAAUUUGCUUCUGCGAAACACCAGUUCAACCGUCUCCUCUGUUCAACAGGUGCAAUUUGCCUACAAAACGAGGAUGAAUUUCAUGUCUUCCGGGCGGUCAGCUGCGAUGUUACUGCUGCUCGCAGUUUUAUUUGCGCCAGUUCUGUCUGUUUACUUUACGGGCGGGUAUUAUUAUGACACUCGCUGUAAUUUCUAUGGCUACGACAUGGGCAAGAAAUUAAACUUUGCUCUUCGUGGAGGCUGUGGCACUUUAUGCUUGAACACUCCUGGUUGCACCCAUUUCAGCCACAACAGUCUUUAUUGCUACCUCAAGAGGAAUCCGGGCUUUUUCCAUCGGAAUUACAAUUUGUUUACAAAUUGUGGUUGGAUUCCAAAUCGCAGUGCUCAGGGGCCGUGUUGGGCCACAUACUACGUCACGCUUUUUUUUCCCUUUUUUAACCCCCUCCCCCCCCUUUGUCACACUCUGUAACAAAUGGUCAGUGUUCUGUCGAAUAAAACUUUCGAAUAAAAUUUCGAAUAGAAUAACGCAAAAA